GGGGGGAGAAGUACCACCAAUCCCUUGUCGAGAGAUGGCGUUUGAAGGUGUAGAAGUUCUUAAACAAAGAAAGAGUCGGCCGAACUUUGGCUAAACUACAAAGGGAAAGAAACCCUAUCAAAAACCUAAAGAAGUUCAGCACGACGGAAGCUAGAAAAAUGUUCAAAAAAUGAAAGAGAGCAACAACAAAGAGCGACAGCAGGAG
rnacentral:lncRNA from 1 species